rnacentral:rRNA from 1 species
UCGGAAUCACUGGGCGUAAAGGGUACGUAGGCGGCGUCAUAAGUCGUGCGUGAAAGGCAGGGGCUCAACCUCUGGAGUGCGCGUGAUACUGUGAUGCUGGAGUAAUGGAGGGGGAACCGGAAUUCUUGGUGUAGCUGUGAAAUGCGUAGAUAUCAAGAAGAAGACUCGUGGCGAAGGCGGGUUCCUGGACAUUUACUGACGCUGAGGUACGAAGGCUAGGGUAGCGAAAGGGAUUAGAUACCCCUGUAGUCCUAGCAGUAAACGGUGCAUGCUUGGUGUGCGGGGAAUCGACCCCCUGCGUGCCGGAGUUAACACGUUAAGCAUGCCGCCUGGGGAGUACGGUCGCAAGAUUAAAACUCAAAGAAAUUGACGGGGACCCGCACAAGCGGUGGAGUAUGUGGCUUAAUUCGAUGCAACGCGAAGAACCUUACCAAGGCUUGACAUCCCGUGACCGCCCAUGAAAGUGGGUUUUCUAUUCGUAGACACGGAGACAGGUGCUGCAUGGCCGUCGUCAGCUCGUGUCGUGAGAUGUUUGGUUAAGUCCAGCAACGAGCGCAACCCCUGCUGCCAGUUACCAUCAUUAAGUUGGGGACUCUGGCGGGACUGCCCAGAUCAACUGGGAGGAAGGUGGGGACGACGUCAGGUCAGUAUGGCCCUUAUGCCUUGGGCUGCACACGUACUACAAUGCCCAGUACAGAGGGAAGCCAACCCGCGAGGGUGAGCGGAUCCCGAAAAGUGGGCCCAGGUUCGGGAUUGGAGGCUGCAACUCGCCUCCAUGAAGGCCGGAAUCGCUAGUAAUGGCGCAUCAGC